rnacentral:rRNA from 1 species
UUGAACGCUGGCGGCCUGCUUUACACAUGCCAGUCGCACGGCAGCGCGGGCUUCGGCCUGGCGGCGAGUGGCGAACGGGUGAGUAAUGCAUCGGAACGUGCCCAGUAGUGGGGGAUAGCCCGGCGAAAGCCGGAUUAAUACCGCAUACGACCUGAGGGUGAAAGCGGGGGACCGAAAGGCCUCGCGCUAUUGGAGCGGCCGAUGUCGGAUUAGCUAGUUGGUGGGGUAAAGGCUUACCAAGGCGACGAUCCGUAGCUGGUCUGAGAGGACGACCAGCCACACUGGGACUGAGACACGGCCCAGACUCCUACGGGAGGCAGCAGUGGGGAAUUUUGGACAAUGGGGGCAACCCUGAUCCAGCCAUGCCGCGGGCGGGAAGAAGGCCUUCGGGUUGUAAACCGCUUUUGUUCGGGAAGAAAUCCUCUGGGCUAAUACCCCGGGGGGAGGACGGGACCGGAAGAAUAAGCACCGGCGAACUACGU